rnacentral:rRNA from 1 species
UGGGGAAUAUUGGACAAUGGGGGCAACCCUGAUCCAGCAAUGCCGCGUGUGUGAAGAAGGCCUGCGGGUUGUAAAGCACUUUCAGUAGGGAAGAAAAGCUUGGGGCGAAUAGCUUCGGGUGUUGACGUUACCUACAGAAGAAGCACCGGCUAACUCCGUGCCAGCAGCCGCGGUAAUACGGAGGGUGCGAGCGUUAAUCGGAAUUACUGGGCGUAAAGCGCGCGUAGGCGGUAAGGUCAGUCGGGUGUGAAAUCCCCGGGCUUAACCUGGGAAUUGCAUUCGAUACUGCCUGACUAGAGUCUGGUAGAGGAAGGCGGAAUUCCCGGUGUAGCGGUGAAAUGCGUAGAUAUCGGGAGGAACAUCAGUGGCGAAGGCGGCUUUCUGGACUAAGACUGACGCUGAGGCGCGAAAGCGUGGGGAGCAAACAGGAUUAGAUACCCCCGUAGUCC